rnacentral:lncRNA from 1 species
UAUUAGUUUACCUUUGUGAGAUUUCUUACUGACUAUUGGCCUAACCUCAGUUCACUGAUACUUUCUUCUGCCAGCUCAAGUCUACUGAUCCUUUACAUUGAAUCACUCUGUAAAGCUGAUUGGCUAGUGAGGAAGAAAAUAACUGACCCAAUCUCUCCCAUGGUUCAAAAGCCUUUAGUGUCUCCCACUUACCAUUGAGGGAAAGAUGAAAUGAUUUAACAUAGAAUGUAAGGCAUGGUCCCAUCUAGUGUCAACUUCAAUCACCAGAUUUCAUUCUCUGCCAUUCCAGAAAUUCAUAUCCUUUGCUGUAUCCAAGGGUUUCCCAAACCUGGCUGUGCCUUAGUCCCAUCUAGAAGCUUUUAAAACAUACCAAGCCCAGGACUCACGUACAGAAUUAAUUCACAAGCUUCAUAGUGGAAUUGUGUAUCCCUCUGCUUUAAAAUUUUCCAGAUGAUUCUAAUAUAGGUCCAAUUUUUUUAAAGUUCUAAGGCUUAGACUCUUUUUGUAUUAACAUUUCCAAACUGUUUCUUCUUUGUCCUGCUUGAUUCUCUUGUCCCUUUCCAACUCAUCAGUUUCAGAAGAUUUCACAUAUUUUCUCUCUCUCAAAAUCUAUAACUGCACAUAUUUCCUUCUUUCCUCCUCGUACUCCUGUGUUCAUCAGAUCAGAUUGUCCCAAGCCUCCUGCUGAGGAAAGAUGUAGUGAUAAAUAUUUGGGAGGCAUCUCUCAUGACCUGCUUUAUAGCCCCCACUGAGGACCUGUAAGACCUCUGUCUCUUAUCUGCCCAGAUAAGAGCUAUCAAACUCCUCACUCUGAUAUCAGCAAUGGCGACUUCUUUGGAUGGAGCUCGAUGGUGGAGAAAGCCCCAGAUUCUGUGGUUGCUAAACGCAAAAUGUCGGGAAGGAAUGAUGCCUUCCAGAUCUGAUAUUCUUUGAAAAUUGCAUUAUCAUCUCUGAGUUCCUGAAAUCAAGGCCUUGUGUAAGGAAAGAACUCACCCACAUCUCAGGAGAGCAGGUCUAGUUGGAAUGUUAAGUGAGGACUGAGUAAGUGGGAAGGAUCAAGCAGCCCCACAGUAGGGAGAGGACAUGUGCAGGAUGGAGAGCAGAUGGGGUCCCUUCUUGGCGAAGCUUCACUGUCACGUCCCAAGGUCAAGUAUCCUUAUUUAGAGGCAUUUUGUGCAGGGCCCGGAGAGUUUAAUAUGUUCUUUUAAUAAUUGUUUCUUUCUUUCUCUUUCUACAGAGAAAGGUAGCAAAUUUAGCUUUGCUAUAUGGUAACUGCUGACUUUUUGCUGAAGCUACACCUUCCUAUGGCUUCUAUUGUGAUCCCAUUUUGCAGUGGCUUCUACAGCCACUUUUGUGGCUUAGAGUUUCACAAUCAGGGUCUUCCCUUCUUAAAGGACCAGGAGAAUUCUAUAGAAUACAGGACAAAAUAUAGGAUUUUCCAAGUUCUUUCUAAUUUUGAGAUUUCCUGAUUUUAGUAUUUUUAUUCUCUAUGUUGAAGUUUUCCAUGACAGUUUAGAAAACUAGUAUCUUAAUUGCAUGUUUUAUAGUGUAAUAGCCAAUACAAUUUGAAAUCCUAAAUAUUUUGCUUGAUAAAAUGUUAAAUGGCAUUAUAUUUAUUAAAAUGCCCUUGUUUAUUUGGUUCAGUAAUGCAUUAAGACGUACACACAUUUUCUUUCUUUUUUGAGGAAGAUUAGUCCUGAGCUAAUAUCUGCUGCGAAUUCUCCUCUUUUUUGCUGAGGAAGAUUGACCUUGAGCUAACAUCCAUGCCCAUCUUCCUAUACUUUAUAUGUGGGAUGCCUACCACAGCAUGAAUGCCAAACGGUAUGUAGGUCCACACCCUGGAUCUGAACCAGUGAACUCUGAGAGGCUGAAGUGGAAUAGGUGAACUUAACCUGUGUGCCACUGGGCUGCAGCCAAGACAUAUGCACAUUUUUGAUACCUAUAACCAAAGAGAGAUUUUCCACAAAUGACCCAAUAUUACAUUACGUAGGUGUUCAAAUAGUGCUGAUGACUUGGAUUCUCUCUGUUCUAAAGAUUCAGAACCUGCAGCAGAGUUUUCUGAGAAAUUGAAAAUCCAACAAGCACCACAGGUUAUAUUAUGAUCAUGGAUCUUAUGUAAUACUGGCUUCGCCUCUAAGACCUAGGAUAUGUCUAUACUUGAAUGAAUUGCAGAACCUACAGAAAGAUAACCAAAGAUUCAAAGAUUUGGGAAAAAUUAUAUGUUUUUCAUUCGUGGUCAUAAAUCAGUUGAGAGGUAGCUGGGUGGUCCUGGGAUGGCAGGCAACAGUGCCUUCACUGACUUAGGACUUCUUUUACUAGGUUCAAGUCAUCUGUUUCUCCAUGAGUCUCCACUUUUCAAGCCAGAAGAAGCAGGCUUUAGCUGUGUGUCCAAAGACUCAUUCAAACUUUGAAUGUAAUAGCAGAAAUGUAGAUUGAAUGUAGGAUGACAAUUAGAAAUCUGUGACAUAUACUAUGCCAGGCACACUUUUCACUAAGUGCUUUUCUAUCUAAAGAGCAAUCCAUGUAGGGCUAUUAAAUUAUUUAGCAUCUCUAAUAUGCCUCUGGAGGAAAGUAUCCCUUAGAAUGUUUAUUCUCAGAACAACAUUAUACACCCACUUUUAGUCACUUGCAUCACCUUUCUUUUUGUAGAUGACUUUAUAAAACAAUUCUUCAGUGAACGCUGG